GUCUUGGUAGCUCAGAUGGAAGAGCAUUUGGCUAGCGACCCGGUGGUCGUGGGUUCAAGUCACACCUAAGACA